rnacentral:misc_RNA from 1 species
GGGACUACUCGGGUUUCUAAUCCUGUUUGCUCCCCACGCUUUCGCACCUCAGCGUCAGUAUCGAGCCAGUGAGCCGCCUUCGCCACUGGUGUUCCUCCGAAUAUCUACGAAUUUCACCUCUACACUCGGAAUUCCACUCACCUCUCUCGACCUCAAGACCGGAAGUUUUGGAGGCAGUUCCAGGGUUGAGCCCUGGGAUUUCACCCCCAACUUGCCAAUCCGCCUACGUGCGCUUUACGCCCAGUAAUUCCGAACAACGCUAGCCCCCUCCGUAUUACCGCGGCUGCUGGCAC